GAUGAACGCUGGCGGCGUGCUUAACACAUGCAAGUCGAACGGUGAAAGAGAGCUUGCUCUCUGGAUCAGUGGCGAACGGGUGAGUAACACGUGAGCAAUCUGCCCCUGACUCUGGGAUAAGCGCUGGAAACGGCGUCUAAUACCGGAUACGAGCUGCGAAGGCAUCUUCAGCAGCUGGAAAGAACUUCGGUCAGGGAUGAGCUCGCGGCCUAUCAGCUAGUUGGUGAGGUAACGGCUCACCAAGGCGUCGACGGGUAGCCGGCCUGAGAGGGUGACCGGCCACACUGGGACUGAGACACGGCCCAGACUCCUACGGGAGGCAGCAGUGGGGAAUAUUGCACAAUGGGCGAAAGCCUGAUGCAGCAACGCUGCGUGAGGGACGACGGCCUUCGGGUUGUAAACCUCUUUUAGCAGGGAAGAAGCGAAAGUGACGGUACCUGCAGAAAAAGCACCGGCUAACUACGUG
rnacentral:rRNA from 1 species